GGAACGUACCCUGGAGUGGGGGAUAACGUAGCGAAAGUUACGCUAAUACCGCAUACGAUCUAAGGAUGAAAGUGGGGGAUCGCAAGACCUCAUGCUCCUGGAGCGGCCGAUAUCUGAUUAGCUAGUUGGUAGGGUAAAAGCCUACCAAGGCAUCGAUCAGUAGCUGGUCUGAGAGGACGACCAGCCACACUGGAACUGAGACACGGUCCAGACUCCUACGGGAGGCAGCAGUGGGGAAUUUUGGACAAUGGGCGCAAGCCUGAUCCAGCAAUGCCGCGUGAGUGAAGAAGGCCUUCGGGUUGUAAAGCUCUUUUGUCAGGGAAGAAACGGUGAAGGCUAAUAUCCUUUGCUAAUGACGGUACCUGAAGAAUAAGCACCGGCUAACUACGUGCCAGCAGCCGCGGUAAUACGUAGGGUGCAAGCGUUAAUCGGAAUUACUGGGCGUAAAGCGUGCGCAGGCGGUUUUGUAAGUUUGUCGUGAAAUCCCCGGGCUCAACCUGGGAAUGGCGAUGAAGACUGCAAGGCUAGAAUCUGGCAGAGGGGGGUAGAAUUCCACGUGUAGCAGUGAAAUGCGUAGAGAUGUGGAGGAACACCGAUGGCGAAGGCAGCCCCCUGGGUCAAGAUUGACGCUCAUGCACGNNGCGUGNGGAGCAAACAGGAUUAGAUACCCUGGUAGUCCACGCCCU
rnacentral:rRNA from 1 species